AGCGAACGCUGGCGGCAGGCCUAACACAUGCAAGUCGAACGAACUCUUCGGAGUUAGUGGCGGACGGGUGAGUAACACGUGGUAACGUGCCUUUAGGUUCGGAAUAACUCAGGGAAACUUGUGCUAAUACCGAAUGUGCCCUUCGUGGGAACGAUUUAUCGCCUUUAGAGCUGCCCGCGUCUGAUUAGCUAGUUGGUGAGGUAAAGGCUCACCACGGCGACGAUCAGUAGCUGGUCUGAGAGGAUGAUCAGCCACAUUGGGACUGAGACACGGCCCAAACUCCUACGGGAGGCAGCAGUGGGGAAUCUUGCGCAAUGGGCGAAAGCCUGAAGCAGCCAUGCCGCGUGAAUGAUGAAGGUCUUAGGAUUGUAAAAUUCUUUCAACGGGGACGAUAAUGACGGUACCCGGAGAAGAAGCCCCGGCUAACUUCGUG
rnacentral:rRNA from 1 species